rnacentral:rRNA from 1 species
UGCCAGCAGCCGCGGUAAUACGGAGGGGGCGAGCGUUAUUCGGAAUUAUUGGGUUUAAAGGGUGCGUAGGCGGCCUAUUAAGUCAGUGGUGAAAGGUAUCAGCUUAACUGAUGACGUGCCAUUGAAACUGAUGGGCUUGAGUACAGACGAGGUAGGCGGAAUUUAUGGUGUAGCGGUGAAAUGCAUAGAUACCAUAAAGAACACCAAUUGCGAAGGCAGCUUACUAGACUGAGACUGACGCUGAGGCACGAAAGCGUGGGGAGCGAACAGGAUUAGAUA